CCUACGGGCGGCAGCAGUAGGGAAUAUUGCUCAAUGGGGGAAACCCUGAAGCAGCAACGCCGCGUGGAGGAUGAAGGUUUUCGGAUUGUAAACUCCUUUUGUUAGAGAAGAUAAUGACUGUAUCUAACGAAUAAGCACCUGCUAACUCCGUGCCAGCAGCCGCGGUAAUACGGAGGGUGCGAGCGUUAGUCGGAAUCACUGGGCGUAAAGGGCGCGGAGGCGGGUAAGCAAGUCAGAUGUGAAAUCCUAGGGCUUAACCAUAGAACUGCAUUUGAAACUGUUAUUCUAGAGUAUGGGAGAGGUAGGUGGAAUUCUUGGUGUAGGGGUAAAAUGCGUAGAGAUCAAGAGGAAUACUCAUUGCGAAGGCGGCCUGCUAGAACAUAACUGACGCUGAUGCGCGAAAGCGUGGGGAGUAAACAGGAUUAGAUACCCGUGUAGUC
rnacentral:rRNA from 1 species